CGGGGUGUGGCUCAGCUUGGUAGAGCGCUCGGUUCGGGACCGAGAGGUCGGCGGUUCAAAUCCGCCCACCCCGACCA
rnacentral:tRNA from 1 species